rnacentral:rRNA from 1 species
GACGAACGCUGGCGGCGUGCUUAACACAUGCAAGUCGAACGAGGACCAGGUGCUUGCACCUGGAGCCGAGUGGCGGACGGGUGAGUAACACGUGACUAACCUGCCUUUGGGAGGGGGAUAACCUGGGGAAACCCGGGCUAAUACCGCAUAAUGUCCUGUCAUCGCAUGGUGAUUGGAUGAAAGGGGGCCUCUGCUUGCAAGCUCCUACCCGAAGAGGGGUCGCGACGUAUCAGCUUGUUGGUGAGGUAAUGGCUCACCAAGGCUACGACGCGUAGCGGGUCUGAGAGGACGACCCGCCACAUUGGGACUGAGAUACGGCCCAGACUCCUACGGGAGGCAG